rnacentral:lncRNA from 1 species
GAAGAUUUCAGAGUCCCUCAUGACUGCCCUCAAGAGUGUGAUUAAUAGCAAAGCUGUUCUAUCUGGAUUCAUCAUCUCCUGAGCAUGAGACUUAAACAGUUACAGGGUGUUUGCCACUUGCUGGAGCCUGCGCUAUCUCUCCCUGGAGCUUCAAGCUGUCUUUCUGCUGCUCAGGACUGUUCCAAGAGCAACCCCCCUCCAUCCUGCCCUGAGCAGCCCUUCCUCAGCGGGGUGUUCUCCCCACAUCCCCUUGUAUUAAAACAUGCGCAGUAGGUUAUAUUUUAUGGGGAAAUGCUUUCAUGUUAUUUGUACAGUCA